rnacentral:sRNA from 1 species
CGAUCUGUUGCGGGCAGAUGAAGUGGAUGUGCGUGUCGAUACCGCCGGCGGUGAUGAUCAUGCCUUCGCCGGCAAUCACCUCGGUGCCGGCGCCGAUGGCGAUCGUGACGCCGGGCUGGAUGUCCGGGUUGCCGGCCUUUCCGACGGCAGCGAUGCGCCCCGCCUUGAUCGCGAUGUCGGCCUUGACGAUGCCCCAGUGGUCGAGGAUCAGCGCAUUGGUGAUCACCGUGUCGGCCACCUCAUGCGAGAGUUUCUGGCCCUGGCCCAUGCCGUCGCG